AAUUUACAAUUGUUAAUUUUUUUAAAUAAUCUAGGUGAUUUAGAUUUCUCUGUUACGGGAAUGAGAUUGUUUCUGCAUUACAUUAAUGAAGAAUUAUUAUUAUUAUUUUCAUUGUGGUAAUAAGAAUUGGGGGAAGGAAUAUUUAUGCAAAAUAGAACUUUUUAUUUAUUUUGUGGUGAAAUAUGAUCUGGUCAUUUCUUCAUAAGAUUCAUCCAGCACUAAUACACAUUUUGGAUAUAGAAUGUAACCGUUACAAAAAAAGCUCAACAUUUAUCUACGUAAUAAAUAUUUUCACUCAUUUUUGCCUCUCAAACUGAUCUCAGACGGUUUAGGAUUUGUGUGUUUAGACUUGCCCAUGUUGAAUUAUGAGGUUUGCGUUCAUGGUCGGUCUGUCAGUGUGUGUGUGUGUGUGUGUGUGUGUGUGACUGUUUUUCAUUUUCAGCACCUGUAAAUCAUGUGCUCUCAUAUUAUUUCAAUGUAAAUCACUAAUAACAAUGGUUCAUUACUUGACACUAAAGUAUAUGUGAGUGUAUAUUUGCACACAUGAGGUCAUAAAUAUAAAUGUAUGUAAGAGCAAAACGCUUGUUUUUUUUGUUUUUUUUAAGUCAUUUACCAAUUUACAGACUACUUAAUUGCCAUUUGGACAAUGUAUUUCCAUUGAAUGAAUUGUGUAAUCAAAUACGCAAGUUAUGAACUUGAGGGAUAGAUUUAGAUUUGGUCUGCAUUGUUGCUCACUGAAACGAACACUGCUUUUUGUAUAAAGGAAUAUGAUUUUUUUUUCUGACUGGAAAAAAGCCCAAACUAAAUGACAAUCAGGCAUUUUGUACAAAGAUAAAGAUGUUUUUGCACAACAAAAGCACAUUAGACCUACUGUGUUGGGCUGAAAUACAAAGACACAAUGUGAAGUCAGCCAGCAGAUCCCUAUUUCU